AUAUAUGUGUAUACAUACAUAUAUAUAGGAAAUCAGAGAUCCUAACAUUAUAGAAAUUGUUUUCUAUCCAACAGCAUGAUGUGGAACAACUGAAAAAAAGCAGCUCUCCAAGGCAACAUUGACCUUCAAGAGGUGAUACAGUAAGCACCAUAUGACUAAAUUUUAAACAUAAACCCGGCCCAUGGUGUCUGAUUCAAAUCCCAGUUCACAGACUUUGGUAAGGAGAUGGAUCAUUAGCACAGAAGCUUACUUUUCCAUAACUGCUAGUUUGCAAAUAGGCUUUGCUUUGGACCCAUUUCCUUAGCACAGACGUGGCCCUGUGUGUAUGAUUCUGGCAUACUGCUGCUCUGCAGCGUACUUCGGUUUCCAUCAGAUCUUGGGAAGCUCUUCUGAACACCUGUGAAGUUCAGACCUGUCUACACCAAGCAGGACUGCAGACACCACUCUGCUGGGUCCUUCCCUCCAAGUCCUUGGGUGAGAAAGAGGCUGAGAUCCCGCAGACUGAUUUUAUCACAUCUGCUGUAGCUCUGCACUAUGGACACCUCACUGGAGCCUGGUCAGCUGAUGGACUGAGAAACCACGAGGCACAAUGUCUUCAGGAGCCACAAGGAAUGGCAUGUUCCUCCUAAGCAUUUGAACUGCAUUCUGUCUGUACAACUUUAGCUGCCUGAAAGAGUGCCCGUUCAGUUGCCUGAUGCCAGAGCACUGUGAAAAAGGAAUAAAGAAAGGCACAGCAAUACUGUCAAAAUUCAGAACUCUUCUGCAGCAGCAGAGGUAGCAAGAGCACACAUAAUUCCUCGAGAUUUUAAGCAGAGGAUUACAUAGUUCACACUCACACUCAUCUGUUGGAAGACCUUGCAGCUCUUACUGGGGGAAUGUGUCCAAGUUUCUUAUCAGUGCAAAGGAGAGUUGGAAGGAGAUCAGGAAGAGAAGCAUCUGUUUCUCUCCUCCUUUGGGACUUUUUGUUUCGUGUGAGUCUGGCACAACACCACGUUUUGCAAAUGGCCAGCUGGACUCAAAAUGUGGACUAUUUAAAGGCACAACCACACAACCUUGUGCACAAGCUUGUGUCUUCCUCUUUGUUAUCCUUAAAAUAUAUGUAACAACUAAAUAUAUGUAGCAACAAAAUAUAUGUAACAACUAAAUAAAUUAAAAUGCUACUGCA
rnacentral:lncRNA from 1 species